AGACCUGCCUGCGCUCGCGGACGCACACAUGCGCACCGGGGGGAGCUCCGAAGUUCAGAGUUUGUGCAAGUUUGGCGGCGCCUCGCCCGCCGUCCGGUCCCCGGGAACCCUCCCCGCGGCGGCGCGCGCUUGGACGGGCCCCGCGGGCGUCGCGGACACGCGAGAUGCUCCCCCUCCCCCUCCCCCUCCCCCUCCCCCGCCGCGCGACUCGCUCCCUACGGCCCUAGCAACGCGCGGUGCGAGCGGGAGGGCUCGCUUACCUGGGGGAGGGUCUGGCAUCCCCCCCCCCCACUGUGCUUUGAAACACCAUUUCCCUGCUUCUUGCCUUUUUGUGUGUGCGAUGCGCGGCUGGCGACUGCUGCACGCUCGUGCUCCCCGCUCCUUCCCCAGCAAAAGCCAAUGUCCCUCCGGAGUUGAAAGGGAAAAACAUUAUGUAAAGAAGAACCUCUGAGUAUAAACAGAGUUUGACUUUUCAGGAAGUACAGUGUCUGAAGAGAUAGAAAUACUACGUUACGUGUUGCUAACCAGUCACAUCUUAUUGUGUAAGAAGAAUCAACUCAAAGCUGUGUGUUCCUCCUUAUGAUUGUAAGGUAACACAACUGAAAAAUAUUCUUAACGUGUGAUUGCCCAAGCAGUAUAAUGAAAAAUCAUGAAAAAUAAAAUGUGAGUUUAAUGCA
rnacentral:lncRNA from 12 species